UCUUAAUCUAAAAGAUAGAAUCUGGUAUCAGAAAGGUUCCCUUCUUUCUAUGGCAAUCUUAUGCCUUCCAAAGAGCAUGCACAAAAUUGACAAGAGCAAAUAACUGCAUGGGUAAUGCCUUGAAUAUUUGGGGUAAGUCCAAACUGGUUAUGUGUCUGGUACAAUGAGAAGCAUGCUUCCCCAACACGGCAAAAAAGAAAGGAGAGAGCAAGAGAUGAGAUGUCCUUAGGACAACUAUUUACCAGGUAAAGUUGAAUUCAGAAAGACUCAUAAGGAUUUAACCAUAUGAGAAAAAGCCAAAACAUUCCUUAAAGCCCCAGUAUCAUGACAAAUAGACAUAGGAAGAAAUAUGCAAAGCAACUGGAAUUUCAUUGAUGUUGGAGCAAUGAGCACCUUCCUAUGCCUACAUGACUAGAUACAGGUAUUAGCCCUGUUUAGUCCGAAAUGGAUUGGGUUAGGUAUUUGAACCUGAUGAAAACACAGUGAUAAGUGAGAUUCUUAUUAACAAAAAAAAAACUUUUAUUCAACCAGCAGCAAUAUAACACAAAACACAUAAUUAUUAUCUUAUUCUUCAUUGUAUUUCAUUUAACUUUUAUCUUGAACUGCUAUUAAAUUUGAAGGGAGGCCAGACCAUUUCCUAGGAAAAAUUUCCAUUAAUUUUCAGUGUAGAUAAAAGUCAGAGGACAAUUAUAGUAUCUGGCAGAUGGAAUCUCUACUUGUAAGAUUAUGUUUAGCUACUGUUAAACAUCAUCGUAUAUACCUGAUGAAGAGUCAAGAGUCAAAAAAUGCUUUUAAAAAACACUUUUAGGUAAGAACUCUGCUAUUCUUUAACUUUAUUUACUUUAUUAUUUUUCAACAAAUAUUUAUUCAGUGUUUGCUAUGUACCAAGAAAGAUUUUCCAACAAGAGAAAUGUGGUUUAUUGUUCCUUAAGCUAACAAUUAAAAGCUUUCUCCCAAAAGAGAAGUAGGUUCUUCUAAACUAUUUAAUGAAAACAAACAAAAAGUCAUGCCAAUCUUAUUUUGCUUUGAUGACACGUCAUUUUACAAAGUAUAGUUUUAAUGCUAGAGAGAGUAUUUUUUAUUAUUUUUCAAUUGAAAUGAAAGGUAAUUAUGUAGAAGGAAUAAAAACUCACAGGGCAAGAUUUUACUGCCAGGGAGAUUUUGUAAUAUGUUCAUAAUGUUCAGUGAUUUUGUUCCGAAACUAGGAUAUCCAAUAUGUCAGCAAAUCUGCUCUACAGUGAAGAUGUAGUGCCUUCUGCCAGUAAGUUUAGCUGACACCUACCUACAACACGAUCUUUAACAAUCUAAAACAGUUUAAGGUUAUAACUUCUCAUUGCCACUAUGUGUUUAUUAGAAUGCUGGAACGAAGUUAAUUGGCUCCUUUUUAUGCUAUUACAGAGAUGGAAUAUGUCCUAGUCUAAAAUUUACAAGCAUGUACUUAGAUCCAAUAUAUUGUUGAGAAAGAUUUCUCUCAGUAAUAGGGUUACAAUUUUUGAUGUGUGCCUUUGAAAAACAGGCAACUGCCCCCCCUCUACACCCCCUAAAAAGAACACUUAGACGUCUGUGGGUCAUUACACAGAAGUGUACUAAAGAAAGAGCAGUGUACAACAGUGGAUUCCAUCCUCACUGACUCUAAAUGAACCUUUAGUUUCCUCACAUAUGAAAUGAAGUGUGUUAGAUUAGAACAAUGUUUCUGCACUGCUGGAUUCAUACCAACAGAGGUAUUCUAGGUGACUUUAAGUGAUACUUAAGAUGGAAAACAGUUAUUUCUUUUAGGUUCUCUUCUAAUUCUUCAUUACUGCAAGAAAAACAUCACAGGCUGGUCCUACUCUGUCUUUAUCUCCUAACAAACACCUGCUUUUUUUUUUUUUUUUUUUUUUUAAAAAAAAAAAAAAAAAACUCAGCUCAGAGCUUUCUGCAGGCAACAGCCUAUGGCUAGAAUUCAAUACCAGUAUUUCAACUAUCAAUUGACGACUACCUUUCCUCAUAAUAUUUUUUAAUCCAUUUGCAUAAAAAUGUAUUAAAAUUUGUAUAAAGGAACUGUAUAAAGUUUCAUUUUCAAAUUUAAGUAAGUUGUAGUAUUGGUGGCACAGAAAUGACUGAAGUUUGGGCUCUGGACCAGAUGCCUCCAGCAAGUAAUCAGUACAGAGAAAGUCCUGAAUUCUGUAAGUCAGGUUAGAAGGGCCACUGGCAGUUUCUUAGCUUAAGUGGGUACUUCAUCUUAUAACCAACAGGGCCUAAUUUACUUCUCUUGGAUUACUAUACUAUGUCUGACAGUAGAAUUUUGCCCAUUUUAUUUUCUACUCAUCUGGAAAGCUAACAUACAGUAGCCUUAUUUGAUUGGAAUUCCUUUAGCUUCCAGAACUUGAAUCAUCUUGUCUUGUUGUUUGUUUCUUAUACUGCCUCUAAUGUAGGAGAGCUGAUAGAAAAAGCCUGCUUAAGCUGCAGCUGCCAGAAUAAAAGGUAACAUGCAGAUGUGUAUUACGCUUUUUUCCCCCAAAAAAGAAUAAGAAACAUAUGUUGAUUUCUUCCUUGUGAACUUCACUUAUCACAGGAAAAUAUCAUGAUUUUGGAUCACAUUUCCAUAGCAGCAAUCAGACUACUAAAAUUCACAAAUAAAGGAUCCGCUGGGUGCAUGCAGCCAGUAGAAAAUUCUGCAAAUGUUGAAAGGAGCGGCUCACACAACUUACUUCCGAGCUCUAUUUUCAUUUUGUUGAAAUAAAAAGACAAAACAAAAGAAAAGAAACUGUAAAAUAUUCUGGAACAAAAUAACACAAUGUGGUGUUCAGUUGUGCACAGGGGGCUCGAUUCAUUAGCUGGAAGAUCCUGUUAUGGUUCUGCAGGAUUUUGACAUAUUGGCCUAAGAGAAACACUAUUCAAAUAUCCUUCUUCAUUGCUACUAUACUUUCCCAUCUGAAAGCACUCAGCUUCCUCCUGAAUAAGAGUUCAGAAGGAAGAGCAUGCAUAAAGUCAUCAUGGCCUCUUGAUAUUUGAUGUUCAAGUAAACAACAAGAAAUACUUUUGCCUAAUAUGAACGUGAUAUGGUUAAAAGAACAAUAUUUGAAACAAAGGCAUUAUAUUUUUUUGGGGGGGGGUACAUCUUUUCCAAAUUAGGACAACUCAGAAGCCUGGGGUUUCUGAAAGGCAGGUAAUCCAACUCUCAUGAUAUACAAAUCAAGUAGAUUGGAUUUCUUGGCUCUGAAACAAAUUCAUGUUGGUCCACAGUUGAGAUAAAAGAAUGAUAAACUUUAAAGUUGCUACCAGAAAAAGGGUUAAAAGUUAGAGAAAGAGAACACUUCAUGACACUAAGUGACAAUCUAAAAAGACAGUUACUGAAAAGAGGGCACAGGCCUGGACAGUUCAGCAUCCAACAGAGAGUAGAGAGGCUAUGAAGUUUGGAAAAGAGAAACAGAGUUGAGAUAGCAUGGACUGGUAGAAGCAGAGAGCUGCUGAAAAUGUGCUCAGGACAAAUCAGAGAUUAGGAGAGGCCAGGAGUGAUCUAUCGAAUGAAUUUUAACAUUUUUCUUCAGCUAGUAAGGUCUGAUUGUACCCAGUGCCGACAGAUAAGGCCGAGGGUCUCACUGGAUCUGCACAGUGGGCAAUGGAAGCCUUGCCCUUAGGAAUCGAGCCCUGUGUGCUUCCCCUGUGACUUCACUCCCUAACUUCCAACAGUAAGCUAAAAUGAAAGGUAAGUCUGACAGGAAAGGACCCAGAUAAGAUCCUGGAGGCAAUGGGAUAUGUGGCUGCUCAACACAUAGACCAACCACACUUGCUCAGUGCCAUGUCAUCUCACACCCUUCCACCCCGGACGUACAUAUCUUCUCACAUGCAGCAAGACUCUGUGCAUGGAGAGAAUCCUCAAACCAACAGAAAAAUGAUUGACACAGAAGCCAAGUGCCAGCACUGCGUAUAAGUAAUACUACCACCAUCCACAGUGAAGUUAAAAGGAGUUUGAGUAAAUUCUUAGAUCCAUCUUCACACUUCCACUUCCUCAGACAGCAGGGAGAGCCACCUUUCAGAAGCUUUUUUCAUCUGAUCCUCAUGUCAUUUCAAAGGUAAGGAAAUGGGUGCAGCAUGAGUAGUUGUUAUUUGAGGACCUUGCUUUUAAGGAGACAGGAGUGGGAAGUGACUGGCCAGCAGUCCCUGGGGUUGGAAUAGCCUUUCCCUGUGAGGAAAGAGAGAGUCUCAUAUGUCUAAGCAACUGUAGAUACCUGGAAGACUGGUAAGGGGCCCUGAUGGAGGCUUUCUCUCUGAUUUUACCAGUCCAAGGCCUAGAUCCCUGCCUGGUGAGGAAGCUGGAAAACCAGGUAAAAACCCUGGGUAAAAACCAAUGGGUCAGAAACACAGCAAUGGAACAUAGGAAUGCUCAAUAUAGAACACAGCACUUGAUUUCAAUUUGUAUUCCCAUCUACAAACAGCAAAUGCCAAAUUAUUUCUAAAGUCCAUACACUUUUAAAAAGGUGAUUGAUACAUUUUAAAUGAUUCCUUCUCUUAGGUAUAUGAAGAAAGUGGUUGAAGGGGAAUACAGAACCUUAAUCUCAGAGUUCAGUGGAGUGGGGGUAAUGCCCUUGAGGCCUUAUUUUAGCUGAUGGGCUUAAAUGAAAAUGAUUCCUCAUCUGAAAAUGAAAUCCCUGCAGCUGCUUUUAAAAACUUCGAAAUACAAGAAUUUAUUUUGAAACAUCCCAUCCCCUAAUUCCCUGAUAGGUUGUCAAAUACAGGAACAAACCUCCUAAGGCAUCAUAUUUAACUGCU